AUGAGUUUGAGGAUGAAGGUUGAAGAGGUGCAGGUUGAUGAAGGAAAUAGGAUGAGGUUUUGGAAAGAUAUUUUGCAGGGCACUGGUGGAUUUGAGGGAUUUUUUGGGGGAAGUUUGGGUCCAUUUGAACAAUUCUGGUUUUGGAGUGAUGUGGUCAACAGGUUUAGGGAUAACAUCAGGGUUGUUUGGGCAGCAAUGUUUGGACAAAAUUGCAGCAGAUUGAUGCAGUUUUGUUCUUACCAUUUUGAGUUAUGCAGAGGCUAA
rnacentral:lncRNA from 1 species